GCCUCAUUGGCUCAGGGGCAGAGCGUCUGUCUAUUAAACUGAAACCUCUGGUUCGAUUCCAGCAUGAGGCA
rfam:Ascaris suum AG00513, whole genome shotgun sequence.